AUUUUCUCAAUAAAGAGAAAUAUAUAAUUUUACCAGACACCCUUCCAUAUUUUUAAAAUCAAUUUUCAAUUCACCAAACAAGAACAAGAGGGUACUAGUGGCUGAGGGUUUAUUGUGUAGCCGAGAUUACCACUUGUUCAUCACCAAAGUUUGAAGGAAGUAUCGGAUUUAUUUAUGUUGAUUUCGCACUCGAUUCGAUGGUUCUAAACGAUUUAGUCUUACACGAGCUGUCAUGAAUCUUGAUGGAACUGGUACUCUGCCUUCAAAUUUGGCCGUAUCUGGGAACAGAAAUAACAGUUGCAGAAAUUUGGGAUUUUUAGAAGAGUGAAGUUGGGUGGACGCUUUUGGGAUUUGGUGGUCUUCUUGGUUAUAGUGGUUUUCCACAUCGUAGUUAUUUUAUUAUUUACCCGAUCUAAUCUCCUUCUCAAUCGGACCAAACUUUCCCAAUAUAGUCGAUGAUCUGAUGUUUUCGAGUCUCCUUGUUUCCUACUUAUGAUCACAAUGUUAACAACAACAGUGGAGCACCAGGUUACAUGACGAAACCUACAGUCAAUGGGCUUGUUAUAAUUGUUCUUGAUAUUCGUAGGUAUUCUUUAUAUUGCUUUCUGGAGAAGUCAAUUUAGCCUGAUUAAUCACUUAAAUCAAAAAUCUUUUACUAUAAAAAAUAUCCAUACCACAUUUUAAAAAUCCUGAUUUAUAGGUUUGACUUUGUUGCUCCAAGUACCUUCUUUGUAGGCAAGGACUUUGACUUCAUUGUCAAUCAGUUUGCUUUUGCAUUUUCACCAUGUCCCGUGAUAUGCAUUUUCCUACAUAACUGUGUUUUUUGAAUGUUCUAUAUUCGACUAGCUUUGUCAAACCAUUUACCAUUUAUUCCAUUUUUAUCGAUUAUAAUUUCCAGAAGUGAAACCAUGGAUGGAUAAGCUACAAGUAGUACACGAACUUUAUGCAGUUUACAUUGUCUAAAUGUGAUCUUAUGUUUUAUCUUUUUUAUUUUUGAAAUGUUAUUAAGGGACAUGAGGGUCUUUCUUGAGUUGGUUGUCAUUCUAUUCACUCAUUAGACUACACAAAGUUGCGUUGCUGCCCGUGUUUUAUGGUUCAGUUUUUGUACACUUAAUUGGAUAUUAGAUAUUUGAGGAAUUUUAAAUUAAACUUCGUACAAUGUGCAAACUGCAAAAUAGCCUUACAUUUUGAUUCUUUGUUCAAAAGGCCCUUGUUUUGUGUAAAUAUCUUAACUAUCCAUACUAGAAGUGACACUAAUUGAGUCACAUUGACCCUAACCCAUUAAAAUCUACUCAAUUUGGUCUAUACUAACCCCAUAACAGGUCGAAAUAAACACCUGUUUGCUACCUCAAUCAAUACAAAUCAACAUAUUUCUAUUAGUACUUCCUAUCAACCUGCAUUGAAGGUUAAAAUUUUAGUUUCAUCAUUAAUCAGUCAUUCUUGUGUUGUCAGGGUGCAGAAAUUUAAUGAUAUCUUCUAAUUGUUGUGCUAAUGAAAAUAUCUACUUUUCACUCCUGAACUUUUGCCCUUCUAAAGUAUUGUUUAACUUGUUAGGAUGAGAAUUUACUAUUCAAAACCAAUCACCCUACAAGUUGGCAAAGAAAAGAAAGAAACACGAAGUUGUUCAUAUGUAAUUUCAGAUACUCAAGUAGCAUGUUUGCAUUAGUGAGAUCUUCCAUCCUAUCUAUCGUGAACACAACUUUGAAAAUUUAAGAAACGCAUAGAAGUCAUAUUUUUUAUUAUAGCCAUGCAUUCUACGUUGAGGUGCUACAACUUUGUCGUGAGCAAAAGUUCAUUCUCAAACAUUUAAAUUCACCGAGAAGUUCAUGCUCAUGAAACAAUGAUGUGUUUUUAACUUAAUCUUCUAUUUAAAUAUCUGAAUAAGAGUUCAUUUCCUAUGAUUUCGCUCUCCCUUGAGAUCUUUAUGGCCUUUUUUGUCAGGUGGAUGGCAGGUACAUUAAGAACUUGCUUCCAACCCUGUACAGAGAGUAUGUGCUCAUAGCACACUUUCUUGGUGUGGUAUGAUUUAUGUUUAUUUCCCUUAUUUUGGUUGCCAAUGUAUUAGAAGCUAGUUUAUUUUUCCCCACAUAUGGGAGAAGAGAUGUGAAUAACUAACCAAUAAACUUGACAAAAUUCAAUCAUAAUGAGAAAAACUAAAGCUUCAAGAAAGCGAUAUUGCUUCAUGGCGAAAGUAACUAGAAAAUAAAAUUUCAUUUUUCAUGAUUGAGUGUAAUUCGAACCAUUUAAAACAAAAUGUAUAAGAAAAACCCCUUCUGAUAAGGUGCUAUGAUAGAGUGAAUAGUAUCUGAUAGGUGUAACAGUGGGGCAUUAUUGAGAACUGUACAUAGAAUCAAUUAAAUUAGGUAGCAUGGCGUCUCUUACGUGGCUAGUUUUCUAAUAGUUGAAGUGUCCAUCCCUCGAACAUCCAUGAACAGUGGUGCUAAGCUCAAAUGAGAUUAUAGUCUAAUAAAAUAAUAAUUGCGUGGUGGAGUCUCGAAUUUCAUAUAUUUAGGCAAGGUAUCCCACGAUACCAUCCUCUCUGUAAAGAAUGAGAAAAUAAUUCUUGAACAUGCGAAUAAAAUCCUUAAACAAUCACUUAUUUAAUCCAUAAAAGUUUUUAAAAGGAAAAGAAAAUUUUGACACAACAUAUUAAAUCUUAAAAUCUUCACAACCAAAAUAAUUUGAUCAUCAAAACAUAAAUUAAUCGUAACAUAACUUUAUUAAAAUGUUUUAUUAUCUACCACUGCGUGCUCGCCCAAUCUUCAUCCAUCUCAAACACAGUUAAUUAUUACCUAAAAUUUUUUUUUAUUCAUAUGAGAUGAUGAUCUCAAUAAGUGAAAUAGCAUGACAUGAAUAAUAAAAGUCCAUGAGAUUCGUGAACAUACUUGAUGAGACACGAAAUUAAUAAAACCGAACUUCGUGGUUCUAAUUUUGUGCGUAGCGCUAACUCCAUGAUUUCAUAACAUAAUCAUAAUAUCGACUUCUAUAAUUUAAACAAUGAAAAUAC
rnacentral:lncRNA from 1 species